GGUCAAGCGAAUAAGCGCACACGGUGGAUGCCUUGGCGGUCAGAGGCGAUGAAGGACGUGGCAGCCUGCGAAAAGUAUCGGGGAGCUGGCAACAAGCUUUGAUCCGGUAAUGUCCGAAUGGGGAAACCCACCCGCUUGCGGGUAUCCUGCAGUGAAUACAUAGCUGCUGGAAGCGAACCUGGUGAACUGAAAUAUCUAAGUAACCAGAGGAAAAGAAAUCAACCGAGAUUCCCUGAGUAGCGACGAGCGAACGGGGACUAGCCCUUAAGCUGGAAUGGUUCUAGAAAAACAGCCUGGAACGGCUGGCCAUAGAAGGUGAUAGCCCUGUAUUUAAAAGGGCCACUCCAGUGAAGACGAGUAGGGCGGGGCACGUGAAACCCUGUCUGAACAUGGGGGGACCAUCCUCCAAGGCUAAAUACUACUGACCGACCGAUAGUGAACCAGUACCGUGAGGGAAAGGCGAAAAGAACCCCGGAGAGGGGAGUGAAAUAGAUCCUGAAACCGUGUGCGUACAAGCAGUAGGAGCUCGAAAGAGUGACUGCGUACCUUUUGUAUAAUGGGUCAGCGACUUACUGUUCGUGGCAAGCUUAACCGUAUAGGGGAGGCGAAGGGAAACCGAGUCUGAUAAGGGCGCAUAGUCGCGGGCAGUAGACCCGAAACCGGGUGAUCUAGUCAUGGCCAGGGUGAAGGUGCCGUAACAGGUACUGGAGGCCCGAACCCACGUCUGUUGCAAAAGACGGGGAUGAGCUGUGAUUAGGAGUGAAAAGCUAAUCGAACCCGGAGAUAGCUGGUUCUCCUCGAAAGCUAUUUAGGUAGCGCCUCAUAUGUAUCCUCUCGGGGGUAGAGCACUGUUAUGGCUAGGGGGUCAUCGCGACUUACCAAACCAUUGCAAACUCCGAAUACCGAGACGGACUGUAUGGGAGACACACGGCGGGUGCUAACGUCCGUCGUGAAAAGGGAAACAACCCAGACCCACAGCUAAGGUCCCAAAUUCACUGCUAAGUGGAAAACCAUGUGGAAAGGCACAGACAGCCAGGAGGUUGGCUUAGAAGCAGCCACCCUUUAAAGAAAGCGUAAUAGCUCACUGGUCGAGUCGGUCUGCGGGGAAGAUUUAACGGGGCUAAGCAGUGAACCGAAGCUUGGGGUGUGCAUAUUUAUAUGUACGCGGUAGAGGAGCGUUCCGUAAGCCGUUGAAGGUGGAUUGAGAAGUCUGCUGGAGGUAUCGGAAGUGCGAAUGCUGACAUGAGUAACGAUAAUGCGGGUGAAAAACCCGCACGCCGAAAGCCCAAGGUUUCCUUGCGCAACGUUAAUCGGCGCAGGGUGAGUCGGCCCCUAAGGCGAGGACGAAAGUCGUAGUCGAUGGGAAGCAGGUUAAUAUUCCUGCACCUCGCGUAAGUGCGAUGGAGGGACGGAGAAGGUUAGGUGUACCCGGCGUUGGUUGUCCGGGGAAAGGCGGUAGGUUUGGAUCUUUGGCAAAUCCGGGAUCCUUUAAGACCGAGCACCGAGACGAGCCUUUAAGGCGAAGUCACUGAUACCACGCUUCCAGGAAAAGCUCCUAAGCUUCAGCUUACGCAGACCGUACCGUAAACCGACACAGGUGGGUAGGAUGAGAAUUCUCAGGCGCUUGAGAGAACUCGGGUGAAGGAACUAGGCAACAUGGCACCGUAACUUCGGGAGAAGGUGCGCCCUUUUUGGUGGCUCAUGCGAGCUAUAGCUGAAGAGGGCCGCAGUAACCAGGCCGCUGCGACUGUUUAUCAAAAACACAGCACUCUGCAAACACGAAAGUGGACGUAUAGGGUGUGACGCCUGCCCGGUGCUGGAAGGUUAAUUGAUGGGGUCAGCCGCAAGGCGAAGCUCUUGAUCGAAGCCCCAGUAAACGGCGGCCGUAACUAUAACGGUCCUAAGGUAGCGAAAUUCCUUGUCGGGUAAGUUCCGACCUGCACGAAUGGCGUAACGACAGCGGCGCUGUCUCCACCCGAGACUCAGUGAAAUUGAAAUCGCUGUGAAGAUGCAGCGUUCCCGUGGCAAGACGGAAAGACCCCGUGAACCUUUACUAUAGCUUUACACUGAACGUUGAGUUCGUCUGUGUAGGAUAGGUGGGAGGCUAUGAAACCAUGGCGCUAGCUGUGGUGGAGCCAUCCUUGAAAUACCACCCUGUCGUGCUUGACGUUCUAACCUAGGUCCAUAAUCUGGAUCGGGGACCGUGUAUGGUGGGUAGUUUGACUGGGGCGGUCUCCUCCUAAAGAGUAACGGAGGAGCUCGAAGGUACGCUCAGCGCGGUCGGACAUCGCGCACUGUGUGCAAAGGCAUAAGCGUGCUUGACUGCAAGAUCGACGGAUCAAGCAGGUAGGAAACUAGGACUUAGUGAUCCGGUGGUUCUGUAUGGAAGGGCCAUCGCUCAACGGAUAAAAGGUACUCCGGGGAUAACAGGCUGAUACCGCCCAAGAGUUCAUAUCGACGGCGGUGUUUGGCACCUCGAUGUCGGCUCAUCACAUCCUGGGGCUGUAGUCGGUCCCAAGGGUAUGGCUGUUCGCCAUUUAAAGUGGUACGCGAGCUGGGUUCAGAACGUCGUGAGACAGUUCGGUCCCUAUCUGCCAUGGGCGUUGGAGAUUUGAGAGGGGCUGCUCCUAGUACGAGAGGACCGGAGUGGACGAACCUCUGGUGUUCCGGUUGUCACGCCAGUGGCAUUGCCGGGUAGCUAUGUUCGGAAGCGAUAACCGCUGAAAGCAUCUAAGCGGGAAGCGCGCCUCAAGAUGAGAUCUCCCGGGGCACAAGCCCCUGAAGGAACCAUAUAGACUAUGUGGUUGAUAGGUCAGGUGUGUAAGUACAGCAAUGUAUUGAGCUAACUGAUACUAAUGAUCCGUGUGGCUUGACCAU
rfam:Stenotrophomonas sp. LM091, complete genome.